AUGCACGCUAGCUACAGGCUUAACCCCUGCAAGUCGCGGGGCAGCAUGGGGGUUGCUUGCAAUCCCCGAUGGCGACCGGCGCACGGGUGAGUAACGCGUAUCCAACCUGCCCUUCACCACGGGAUAACCCGGCGAAAGUCGGACUAAUACCGUAUGUUGUCCAUUGACGGCAUCCGAUUUGGACGAAAGGUUUGGCGGUGAAGGAUGGGGAUGCGUCCGAUUAGCUGGACGGCGGGGUGACGGCCCACCGUGGCGACGAUCGGUAGGGGUUCUGAGAGGAAGGUCCCCCACACUGGAACUGAGACACGGUCCAGACUCCUACGGGAGGCAGCAGUGAGGAAUAUUGGUCAAUGGGCGUAAGCCUGAACCAGCCAAGUAGCGUGCAGGAUGACGGCCCUAUGGGUUGUAAACUGCUUUUAUGCGGGGAUAAAGUGGCCCACGUGUGGGUUUUUGCAGGUACCGCAUGAAUAAGGACCGGCUAAUUCCGCG
rnacentral:rRNA from 1 species